rnacentral:rRNA from 2 species
GGGGAAUAUUGCACAAUGGGCGAAAGCCUGAUGCAGCGACGCCGCGUGAGUGAAGAAGUAUUUCGGUAUGUAAAGCUCUAUCAGCAGGGAAGAAAAUGACGGUACCUGACUAAGAAGCCCCGGCUAACUACGUGCCAGCAGCCGCGGUAAUACGUAGGUGGCAAGCGUUAUCCGGAUUUACUGGGUGUAAAGGGCGUGUAGGCGGGACUGCAAGUCAGAUGUUAAAACUAUGGGCUCAACCCAUAGCCUGCAUUUGAAACUGUGGUUCUUGAGUGAUGGAGAGGCAGGCGGAAUUCCGUGUGUAGCGGUGAAAUGCGUAGAUAUACGGAGGAACACCAGUGGCGAAGGCGGCCUGCUGGACAUUAACUGACGCUGAGGCGCGAAAGCGUGGGGAGCAAACA